ACCUUUUGCCCAGCUCUCAUUAUAUGUAAACCGUUACUUAGAAUAGCGGUUCAUUAUUGAAGACUGCUACUCUAAGUAGCGGUUUACCACAAUCCCCAAUUUCGACAUAGGUUUUCCAAUUCCUCACAUUUCACGAUCUCUUUAUUUCUCCCAAAAAAUUUCUCCCUCUCUCUCUUCCGACGCUUGGCUACUCCAACCUUAAGCCCAGUCACGCCGUCAAUCUUUGCCCCACACUCGUCGUUUACAAUAGCCGCGCCACUAUCCCUCACAACAGCUGCCCACACUCGCUUAUUGUUUUGGUUAUGUAAUAGUCUAUAUUUUAAGCAUGUUUUAAAUAAAGUGAUUAUGUUUAUUACUUUAACUAAGUUUUAAAAGAAAUAUAAGAAAAGGAUUAUUACUUGAGAAUUAUUAUGUUAAAUACAAUUAUAUCUUUGUACGUUUUUUUUUUAAUGAAUAAUUUGAGUUAAAAGAAAAAAAAAAUCUCUAUUAGGUGGCUUAUGUGGGAAUUCCCAUAUUACAUCUUUGUUGUCAACUCCUCAAACAACAUGACACGAAAAUAAAUAGGGAGAAUUUAGUGAAGAUGAAACCCCAAAUUUUUUCUUUUCUCUCACCUCUGUUCUACCCGUCGAUUGCAAGAAGCAUGCAGUCAUUUUUCAGUCUUUGUUCCUUCAUCAAAGUUGUAGAUAUUUUCGAGUUAUUGAAUUUAGAUCCAAAAAUCGUCCAAUUCGGAGUUUGGAGCUGUGAGUUAUGGCAUUUGCAAGUUUGGUCUUGCUACCAGCAGUUUCUUUCGAGGUUCUAUUGUUGUUGCUGCAGCUUUGUGGGUGUUGCUGUUGUUGUUGUGUUGAUGUUGGUAUUCCCUUCUACUUCUUCAUUUCCAUUUCUCUUGUGUGUUUGAAAGUAAAGUUCAAAUCUUUAUCUUAUUCUCCUUAAGUUCAUCAGCAUAAAUUCAUAUUUGUAUGGGUUUAAUUCUAUGAUUCCAUAAAUUAAUUUAGCUCUAAACCUUGGUAUUCUUGAUUUUGAUUUGCAAAAUCGUCCAAUUCUUGUUUGAUGGAUUGGAACUUAUUUUGGAACUUAUAAUCUUAGGGAUUUUGCAAAAUCAAAUUUUAUAAUUCAAAUUGAAAUCAUAAUUUCAUGUUUUGCAAAUUGGUGUGGUAAUUUCCAAAGUGUAUUAUUAGAGCUAGCUUGUGAUAUUAAUCAUGGGGGAUAGGUAAGUGGAGAUUUUGGUGAUUGAUUGAGCAGAUGGUCUUAGUUAUGAUAUUGGAAUAAGUUUAAGGAGGAAUUCUAAUUAAAAGGUUUUAUUAUAAUAGCUUAGGUUGUUGAGAAUUGUUGGUAUCAUCUAGAAAAUCAUAAUUAGCUCAUAAGGUUUAAGUUGAUUAAUAUCUAUUUGAAAAUUGGUCGUUAAUUAUGCUCGUUUUGUUGAGGUUGUGGAGUUCAAGCUGGAUUUGGAGAUUGAAUUAUGAUGCUUGGAUGUUUCAUAUUAUUAUUCUUGAAUUUAUCUUGAAGUGAUUAUCGUUUGAGGUGUAUGUUCAAGUUUCGGAAUGAAUCAAGAGAAAGAAGUUUCAGUUAAGAUAUGGAAAUUAAAUUAGUGAUUCGAAGUUAUAUUUAGAAUAUAAGUUGUUGAAUAUUAAGUUCUCAUUUGAUAUUUAAGUACUAUAUUGUUUUGGGAAUCAAGGUAUUAUGUAAUCUGUUAUUGGUUUUGAAGAUGAUUUGUUGUGGGCCCUGACCCACAGGUCCAGGAUCGUGUAAAUAGGUUAUGUUUCCGCUGUGAGUAAAUAUUAAUUUGAGGUUUAUUAAGCGUUGAUUGUAAUUAGAGAAUCUUAAGUGUGUUUAGCUAGCAGCUUGGAAGUGCGGGCUGUUACAGGUUAUCUUAUUUUUAAUUGAUUAUUUUUUAAUUUAAUUUGCUUAGUAUGUCAUAUUUAUUAUGUGUUUUAGCUUUCUUAGUGUUGUUAGAUGGCAAUUAUUUGGUUUGAUUGGUUUAUUCUAGUAGUUUACAUGAUUAGCAUUUGUGAUGGUUGAUUUAGCAUGAAUUGGAAGGUGAUAUAUUGAUAAUGGAAGCUUAUGGAUUAAUGAGAUUGGUUGGUUAAAAAUGGUGUUGAGCAUCUUGUGAUGGUUGAUUUUGCAUAAUUGUUGUGUUAAGGUUGCAAAUGCUAUUAGUAUAAGUGAAGAAUGGUGUUGAUAUUGAUUUAAUGUGUUGAAUAAGAAUAACUUGAUCGUUGCCUUUUUUGUUUGUAGAAUAUGGAACAACCUAAAUAUCCUUUAUAUCUUUAUUGGAAUGGUGAAUAGGGUGUAUGAUGUAGCUGGUUGUGAUCGUAUGUAUGUGGAGUUGAAAUUGUUUAUGAGAUAUCUGAUGCCGGGGAAAUAUGUGCCAAUUGCACUAGAGGAUGACGACUGACUCAGUGCUAUGUGGCUUUCAGUGACACAAACGUCAGCCAUGGCAAUGGAGGUGUACAUUGAACAAGUUCUAAAGGAGAUAAAUCUCCAAAGUAAUUUGGGUUAUGUUUUACAAUGGACUUUAGGGAUAGCAUGGAAGUACCGACAUCUGCUCUUUAUAUGCAAUUUGAAUCAUUUACUAGCAUGUUGUCAUAUCCAAAUUAUGUCAAUAAGCACAUGAAUGAGUUCGGUUCUCCUGGUUCAUCUCCCCACAUACCAUCCACAUUCCAUCUCGAUACUCUAGAUAGAAAUGAUGCUGAUUUUUUGGGAAAUGAGGAGCAUGUGGAUCCUGAUAGGGAGGAGGAUGACGAUGCAAGGAAGCAGCUGACAAGGCAAUAAAGUCUGGUGUUCCUUCACAAGAUUGGCUCAUAAUCGACGAAGUUGAUCAAAGGUUAAUAGAUGCAUGGGUGACUUAGAAAUGUAAUGGCUCAUUGAGUGUGGCUUCUAAAAUUUGAUAUAGGACAAGAAUUUGCAUCAUUGCAGCAAUUAAAGAAUUUUGUGAAAGCAUGGUCGAUCACCAGAAACUAGAUGUUUCGGGAGUUAGAGUCAAAGCCCACAAAGUAUGUCAUUGAAUGUAUCAGAAAGGAAGUGUGUCAUUGUCCAUGUAGGUUGCGUGCAAUCAUGACUCCGUCGUAUUCAUUCAAAAUUGUACGAUAUGGUGGUCCACAUGCAAGCAAUUAUUUGGGAGACAUAAGACCUGGAGACCAUCCUCUCAUUUCCUCGGAUUUCGUUGCUGAUCUUAUCGAUGAUUUCAUUAGGACUGAUCCUUCAUUCAAAGUUCAAUUCGUCUUAACUUUUGUCAAGACCCAAUAUCAAUUUUCAAUAAGGUACAAGAGAGUUGGUUAGCCAAACGAAAGGCAAUAACCAACAUUUUUGGUGAUUGGGAUAAGUCUUAUGAAGAGUUACCUAGGUACUUGCAAGCCUUGAAAAAGUCCAAUCGAGGCACUGUCGUGUAUUGGUGUAUGAUCCCAACACAAGACCCUUCUGUGCACAUCUUUAAGAGGGUAUAUUUAAACCCUCCAUUACUGGACUCCGUCAUUGUCGAUCUCUUAUCACUAUAGAUGGUACUCACUUGUACGGGAAUUAUAAACGCAAAUUAAUUGUUAUGGGUAAAAAUGCUAAAUUUUAGCUAUUCCCACUUGUCUUUGCUGCUGUAGAGGAGGAAAAGCAUAGACUCAAGGUCUUGGUUUUUAGCUUGCAUUAGGCGUUAUGUCACAGAUAGAAAGUGCUUGUGUGCGAUCUCUGAUCAUCAUUGGGGUAUUCUUGCAGCUAUGAACGAGCCCCAAAUUAGGUUGGGAAGAGCCAUAUGCCCAUCACCAAUUUUGUGUGCGACAUAUUGCUUCCAACUUGAAUACGAAGUAUAGGAAUGCUGCCAUCAAGAAUCUAUUCGGAAAAGCUGCAUAUGCUAGGAAAAAGAUGAAGUUUUUGUACUAUAUGGAUCGAAUUGGCUCCAUUAAUGUCAAGGCGGCUAAAUAUCUAUUGGACAUUCCCCUUCAUCUAUGGUCUCUUCAUCAUGAUGGUGGAUGUAGAUAUGGUGUGCAAACCACAAACAUGUCCGAAGUGUUUAAUGGCGUCCUAAAAGGGGGAGAUGUCUUCCGGUCACUGCUUUGGUAAGAACAAGAAUUAUCUGAUGAGGCAUCGACCACAGUGCAGUGUGAUGAGCACGAUAGACGUGUUGUUUAGGGUACUCCAUUCAGUGGUCGUACUCAUGUCAUUGAGAAGUUUAUGAUAUGGUAUCAUUGCAUCACAAGGUUGCGCAUGACGGAUCCAUUGAGGCAACCUCCUUCUACACAUUAUGAGCAUGCGUCUGCAAAUAUAGUACUAGUAUGUGACAUGACUUGUAUUUAUACUUUUAUUUAUUUUUGAAACUACAUAAUGUAUGUUUUCCUUUCUAUGCAGGCACAUGAUUCAUCUGAUGGUGCUCAUAGGUGUAGUAUUAUACUGGAGGUUGUUGAGUCAUUGCCUCCAAAUAUGGGCACGAGCUAUAUGUGUAGACAUUGCAGACCAUGGGGGUUGUGUAUUGACGUUGUUGGCCGAGUUGGACAUGGACACAUCUUACAGGGCGUGUCAACUUUUGUUUCCCGUACAUCGACUUCUACAUCUUCUACGCCCGUUGUCCAUACAUCUACCGCGACACCUUUGCUUUCGCCUCCAGUAUGUCAGAGGACCUACCGACGACGUUCGGCCACCAUUCCGUCUUCUCUUAAUGCCAUUGCGGAGUCUGAUGAGUCCACACCUAGUUCAUCUAGACCUACACAAAAUAAGAAGAGGGUGUAAUAUCCUAAAAACUUAAAUGUGUUUAAGUAAAUAAUUAGUUAUAAUAAUGUAGUUAGUUUUGUUGUGAAAUCACUAAAGCACAAAAUAUCCAAAAUUCACCAAAAUUUUACUAAGCCACGUUUAGAGUGAAAGUAUGGGACAAUUUUUGAUUUUUCGAUUACAAAACAAAAAGGAAAAAGAGAAAAAGCUUCCAUGGUCAACUACUCCAUUAAUAUUGCCUUCUUCCUCACUCAUUCAUGGCACUUGGCAAGCAUGCCAAGACCCUCCAUCCUUUUUCCUAUGCCAAAAAUAUGUCACCAAUCCAUCUUCUUAGCUUCUUCAAGUCAAAAAUUCAGAAUAUUUACUUCAAUCUUCUUCCUCCCAACUACUGAUUUAGUAUUCCUAAUUCCCUUAUAAAUGGCCUCACCAAGAACACCAUCAACAACAAUUCUCAUCCUCUCAUCUCACCUCACCACCACCUACGAACUAACCAGAAUUUUCAUUCACAACUCGCGAGAAAACAUGACCCAAAGAAACCCAAAAGAAAUAAAAAAAAACCCAUAUAUAUCCCUCUCUCUCCUCUGUUUCGGGUUUCAAACGCCACCACCACCGUCUGCCGCCGGCGCGCGCUACACCAGGACAGUCAUCUAUCACUAUGCGACACUUGUCGGCCACCCGCGGCUCGCUGGAGCUCCGCCACACCACUCACACCUCCUCUCUCUCUCUCUCUCUCUCUCUCCCUCUCUCUCUCUCUCCAGCGCACUCUUCUUCCUCGCUCCUCUCCUUCUUCACGCCUACUGUACGUGCAGCACCACGCCACAGAAGACGACCUCCGCGACCGCGUCUCGCUGCUCGUCGCCGUUGUUCGCUGCUCGCCGUCGCCGACCACCUGAGCCGAAAUCCGCAUGCCUCACUCGUGGUCCUCUCUGCUCCUAGUAGCAGAGGUAAUGACCCCUUUCUUUUAAAAUUCUGAUUUCCAAAGUUUUAAUCCAUGCCCAAGUUUAAAUCCUUUGUUAGUAUACUAGUUUGGGCAUAGGACCUUGGACUCGGAACUAAGGCUUAGCACUUUCAUUUAUUGUUUGUAUGUUAGUUAGUUAGUUAGUUAAAACUAUGUUAGAUUUUAAACUAUGUUUGUGAUUGAUCUAUCAUUAUGCGUCAUUUUCUUAAUCUUGCUUCAUCAUUAAGAAAUUCUUUGCUUAACCAUUAGUUUUUAUGAAUUUUAUGAUGGAUGAACUUGGUCUUUGGUGAUUCA